ACAACUCCUCUCAGGUUUUUCUAAAGACGGACAAAGCGCAGCCGCCACCAUCUAAAGCCAGCCCCAACUCAAGUCUCCCAGGCGUCUUUAUACUGCAAGGCUGGUAAUCGUCAGGCGUAGUUUGGCUGAUUGCAUUCCAGCCAUUGAUGGCUGAGCGUCCACAGCUGGACAACAGAAGCUGCAGCAAACCUAAGCACACACAUACACUCAGACACACACGUACAUGUACACAACAGCUGGAACACACUGACAAUAGGCUGAUGUGCUCAACUGCAUCUGUUUAAGUAGAUGAACCUGGUUGAUUGGACUCAACCACUCUCUGACAGCCAGGGGGGUGUUAUGGCAGCCUGCUACACUCGUCCUCAGAUGAAGAAGACCAUCUGUCCCCUUCAAUUAUCUAUGGACUGGACAGAGAAGUAUAGAAGAUCAGGCAGGAGAUGCUUUGAGUGAAGCUUGGCUUGAAAUCUUUGUGUUCAAUUUAAGUUCUGUUAAUGGUUGGGCUCAUAAAACUGCAGUGUUUUUAUGUUUUUAUCUUGUAUUUAGUUUUUGACCUUGACCUGCUCUCAUAGUUUACACCUAUGGUACGGGGAAGAACUGCACGAGUAUGGGCUGGACGUCCCAGGACCAAGAUGGAAGACACCAACAAAGGGUGAAAGGCGGGGGACAUCCUGGACAGGUCACCAGUCCAUCACAGAGACAAACAUUCACAGGUGGGUGAGUGUUCAAUUCACCUGUGGGUCUUUCUGCUACAAGGCAACAGUGCCGACCACUGCUCCUCCGUGCGUGGACAUUGUCUGUCUGUUACGACUGUGGUCAAAUAUAUGAUGGACGAUCAAUGAUAGCAGUGAACUCUGAAGCAGGACUUCUAAUGUACAAACAUCCCUGUCUUCAGAGCAGGUACAGUCGCCUAUGUUAUAGCACUUUAUACAAAUAUGAUGACAUUGUUUUAUUUUUCAGUCUAACACAAACAAACAUGGUGCUUUAGUUUGUGUAGUCUGUGUUCUCUGCUCGGCUUAUAUAACCCGUGGCUCAUUGUAUGCACAUUGUUGUGAUUUAUGAACGAGAUGUUGGUUCACAUGUGUCAUUAAUGAAUUCAAAUUGGAAACAAAUAAAUCCACAAUGAAUUA